rnacentral:rRNA from 1 species
UUAAGCGACUAAGCGUACACGGUGGAUGCCCUGGCAGUCAGAGGCGAUGAAGGACGUGCUAAUCUGCGAUAAGCGCCGGUAAGGUGAUAUGAACCGUUAUAACCGGCGAUUUCCGAAUGGGGAAACCCAGUGUGACUCGUCACACUAUCAUUAACUGAAUCCAUAGGUUAAUGAGGCGAACCGGGGGAACUGAAACAUCUAAGUACCCCGAGGAAAAGAAAUCAACCGAGAUUCCCCCAGUAGCGGCGAGCGAACGGGGAGGAGCCCAGAGCCUGAAUCAGCAUGUGUGUUAGUGGAAGCGUCUGGAAAGGCGCGCGAUACAGGGUGACAGCCCCGUACACAAAAGCGCAUGUGCUGUGAGCUCGAUGAGUAGGGCGGGACACGUGGUAUCCUGUCUGAAUAUGGGGGGACCAUCCUCCAAGGCUAAAUACUCCUGACUGACCGAUAGUGAACCAGUACCGUGAGGGAAAGGCGAAAAGAACCCCGGCGAGGGGAGUGAAAAAGAACCUGAAACCGUGUACGUACAAGCAGUGGGAGCCCCACCACUAAGCCAGUGGUGAACUCCACAUACGCAUCCUUUGCUGAGGAUACGGUUAACGGAGCGAAAGCGACGUUCAACCUCAAAAGAAGCAGAGGGGGCUUAGUGGUGGGGUGACUGCGUACCUUUUGUAUAAUGGGUCAGCGACUUAUAUUCUGUAGCAAGGUUAACCGAAUAGGGGAGCCGGAGGGAAACCGAGUCUUAAUUGGGCGUUAAGUUGCAGGGUAUAGACCCGAAACCCGGUGAUCUAGCCAUGGGCAGGUUGAAGGUUGGGUAACACUAACUGGAGGACCGAACCGACUAAUGUUGAAAAAUUAGCGGAUGACCUGUGGCUGGGGGUGAAAGGCCAAUCAAACCGGGAGAUAGCUGGUUCUCCCCGAAAGCUAUUUAGGUAGCGCCUCGUGAAUUCAUCUCCGGGGGUAGAGCACUGUUUCGGCUAGGGGGCCAUCCCGGCUUACCAACCCGAUGCAAACUGCGAAUACCGGAGAAUGUUAUCACGGGAGACACACGGCGGGUGCUAACGUCCGUCGUGAAGAGGGAAACAACCCAGACCGCCAGCUAAGGUCCCAAAGUCAUGGUUAAGUGGGAAACGAUGUGGGAAGGCCCAGACAGCCAGGAUGUUGGCUUAGAAGCAGCCAUCAUUUAAAGAAAGCGUAAUAGCUCACUGGUCGAGUCGGCCUGCGCGGAAGAUGUAACGGGGCUAAACCAUGCACCGAAGCUGCGGCAGCGACACUCAGGUGUUGUUGGGUAGGGGAGCGUUCUGUAAGCCUGCGAAGGUGGCCUGUGAGGGUUGCUGGAGGUAUCAGAAGUGCGAAUGCUGACAUAAGUAACGAUAAAGCGGGUGAAAAGCCCGCUCGCCGGAAGACCAAGGGUUCCUGUCCAACGUUAAUCGGGGCAGGGUGAGUCGACCCCUAAGGCGAGGCCGAAAGGCGUAGUCGAUGGGAAACGGGUUAAUAUUCCCGUACUUGGUGUUACUGCGAAGGGGGGACGGAGAAGGCUAUGUUGGCCGGGCGACGGUUGUCCCGGUUUAAGCGUGUAGGUGUGUGUUCCAGGUAAAUCCGGUUCACUUUAACACUGAGGCGUGAUGACGAGGCACUACGGUGCUGAAGCAACAAAUGCCCUGCUUCCAGGAAAAGCCUCUAAGCAUCAGGUAACAUCAAAUCGUACCCCAAACCGACACAGGUGGUCAGGUAGAGAAUACCAAGGCGCUUGAGAGAACUCGGGUGAAGGAACUAGGCAAAAUGGUGCCGUAACUUCGGGAGAAGGCACGCUGACACGUAGGUGAAGUGAUUUACUCAUGGAGCUGAAGUCAGUCGAAGAUACCAGCUGGCUGCAACUGUUUAUUAAAAACACAGCACUGUGCAAACACGAAAGUGGACGUAUACGGUGUGACGCCUGCCCGGUGCCGGAAGGUUAAUUGAUGGGGUCAGCGCAAGCGAAGCUCCUGAUCGAAGCCCCGGUAAACGGCGGCCGUAACUAUAACGGUCCUAAGGUAGCGAAAUUCCUUGUCGGGUAAGUUCCGACCUGCACGAAUGGCGUAAUGAUGGCCAGGCUGUCUCCACCCGAGACUCAGUGAAAUUGAACUCGCUGUGAAGAUGCAGUGUACCCGCGGCAAGACGGAAAGACCCCGUGAACCUUUACUAUAGCUUGACACUGAACAUUGAGCCUUGAUGUGUAGGAUAGGUGGGAGGCUUUGAAGUGUGGACGCCAGUCUGCAUGGAGCCGACCUUGAAAUACCACCCUUUAAUGUUUGAUGUUCUAACGUGGACCCGUGAUCCGGGUUGCGGACAGUGUCUGGUGGGUAGUUUGACUGGGGCGGUCUCCUCCUAAAGAGUAACGGAGGAGCACGAAGGUUGGCUAAUCCUGGUCGGACAUCAGGAGGUUAGUGCAAUGGCAUAAGCCAGCUUGACUGCGAGCGUGACGGCGCGAGCAGGUGCGAAAGCAGGUCAUAGUGAUCCGGUGGUUCUGAAUGGAAGGGCCAUCGCUCAACGGAUAAAAGGUACUCCGGGGAUAACAGGCUGAUACCGCCCAAGAGUUCAUAUCGACGGCGGUGUUUGGCACCUCGAUGUCGGCUCAUCACAUCCUGGGGCUGAAGUAGGUCCCAAGGGUAUGGCUGUUCGCCAUUUAAAGUGGUACGCGAGCUGGGUUUAGAACGUCGUGAGACAGUUCGGUCCCUAUCUGCCGUGGGCGCUGGAGAACUGAGGGGGGCUGCUCCUAGUACGAGAGGACCGGAGUGGACGCAUCACUGGUGUUCGGGUUGUCAUGCCAAUGGCACUGCCCGGUAGCUAAAUGCGGAAGAGAUAAGUGCUGAAAGCAUCUAAGCACGAAACUUGCCCCGAGAUGAGUUCUCCCUGAGACUUAAAGUCUCCUGAAGGAACGUUGAAGACGACGACGUUGAUAGGCCGGGUGUGUAAGCGCAGCGAUGCGUUGAGCUAACCGGUACUAAUGAACCGUGAGGCUUAACCUU